UAAUCAUCAUGAUCAGCAUUACUGUCACCACCUGGGGAAAAGCUUGACGAACGGAAGUGACGUACAACAGAAACAGGAAACGAUCUCUGAUCCUCCAUCAUGCAGAAACAAGAGCGGAGUCUGGUUGACAGCAUGGAGGACGUCGUCCUGCACAGCUCAGACAGUCUCUUUCUACACAGUCUGGUGUUUAUUUGCCUCUUAUCACUUCUGCUUUCAUUCAGCUGCUACGAUAUUUUCAUUAACUCAUGUAUUUU